CAGUCGCCACGGGAAUACAGAGGGUGCGAGCGUUAAUCGGAUUUACUGGGCGUAAAGCGUGCGUAGGCGGCUUUUUAAGUCGGAUGUGAAAUCCCUGAGCUUAACUUAGGAAUUGCAUUCGAUACUGGGAUGCUAGAGUAUGGGAGAGGAUGGUAGAAUUCCAGGUGUAGCGGUGAAAUGCGUAGAGAUCUGGAGGAAUACCGAUGGCGAAGGCAGCCAUCUGGCCUAAUACUGACGCUGAGGUACGAAAGCAUGGGGAGCAAACAGGAUUAGAUACCCGCGUAGUCCCUGUCUCUUAUAA
rnacentral:rRNA from 1 species